rnacentral:lncRNA from 1 species
GAGUCGCAGAAGCGUUUGAUUGUCAACUGGUCGGUGUCACCAUGGAGGGUCUCGUGGUUUUGCGUCGUGUUGCCUACUCUGUGUUUUCGUUUGCUCUUUCGCUGCACCUGGCCAGUGCCUUGGCCCUCUACAACAACCUCCGACCUUGUCCGGUUUUGAGACCAGCUAAGAUCGUCGACUUGGAUGAGUUGCUGGGCAAAUGGCACUUGGCGUACCUGAUCCUGGAUGCUGCAAGCGAGGAGUAUGUAGAGAACUCGUUGUGCGUUCGGGGUGAAUUGCAGCGGCUCAACGAGACAAGCUUGCGGCAGGUCUGGAACGUGGACAUGCCCGGGAUGAUGGGCGAACACAGCGCCGUUCUCGACCUACCCACGCACUUAGUCAAGCCUGCAGUUUGGACGGUCCUCACCCCACUUGGAGGUGAGGUCAAGGCAACUGUUGUGGACACGGACCCCAAAUCAUACAUGGUUGUCAGUCACUGCGGUAUGCAUCACGGAACACUGGUGCAUCUCUGGACUGGCAUUGUAACGCGCGCAAAAAAGCUCGGGCCAAUGGAGCAAUUGCAACUAACUUCACUCCUCAUUCAGCAUGGUUUCAAUCCGACGGUCAACAAAAUCAUAACGUGGAAUGACUGCUGAUCGCAAUAAAUACACAUACUUAUUGCAAAGAGCCCCUUGUUCUUGUUUUUGUCUAUUCAUUAUUUUUAUUAGAUCCCUUAUUUUUUAAUCGUGUUACUUACAAAAGAAACUUUUCAAGUUUUAAAAAUAGGUUUACAAAACCAUGCAACCAAAAUUGGAUCGGGUUUAACAGAAAGGAACCAAGCCACAUCAGCUAUUGCCAAAUUUAAUCGGGCAAUUUAAUUUUUUACGAGAAAACGUUUGUGCAGAUUCCUUUGAAAAUUUUAAAGAAUUUGAUUCGAACUAUGGAGAUAAUUCACUGAAAUCUGCACGAAAAUCCGCUCAAUAGUUUUCAUGCAAAAAAUUAAGACGCACAAUUAAAUUUGGCAAUUGCUGAU